UGAUGGCAUAAUGGGAGGAUAAUGUGUGCACCAAUGACCAGGUUGCUGAUUAAGGAUCUGCACUAGGAAUUCUGUUGAGGAUGCUUGCAACCUUGUGGAGUGAGUAAUCAGCUUGUCUGGUGGAGAAAUGCCUGCCACAUCAUAACAAGCAUGGAUACGGGAAGUUAUCCAAGAUGAAAUUCUCUGUGAGGAAAGUGUAGGACCUGUCAUUCUGUCUGCUAUAGCCACAAACAGUUGGAUGUCUGGCAAAAUGAUUUGGUCCUGUCUAAGUAGAACACAAGUGCUUGUCUAACACCCAAUAUCUGUAGCUACUGCUCAUCCCUAUUUGCAUGUGGUUUGGGAUAAACAGGUAAGUAAAUUGAUAAAAAUUUGAAACUACUUUAGAAAGAAAAUUCAAAUAAGGCAUAAGUAAACCUUAUCUUUAAAGAAGACUGUGUAUGGUAGUUUGGAUGCAAUGGAAUGCAAUUCAGAGACCCUUCUGGCCAGAGAUGACCUAUACCAGGUUCAGGUGGAGCAGCUGACCAUGGUCUUGGGAGGUCAGCGAUGCAAUGGGAGUGAGAUUGGAGUUACAACUGAGAUGUCCAAUAGAAUGGAGAACCAGUAUUGGCAGGGCGAGGCUUAUACCUGAGUAUAGUCCCGCUUGAUCUUUGGUAGCGCUCUGCAUAGGAGGAGUGGGAUUGUGGGAAAAGCUUUUCUGUCCAGAAUAGCAGGGAGGUAUCUGUGAUUGAGCCUGGAUUGUGGUCUUGUUGGGGGGAGAAUUGGUGACAUUUUCUGUUGGACUUGUUUGCAAAUAGGUCUAUCUGGGGAGUCCCCUUCUGCUGGAAAAUGCGCCUGGCUACAUCCGGAUGAAGUGACCAACCAUGAUGACUUGAAAAUGACCUGCUUAGGUGGUCUGCUAACUCGUUCUGCUCCCCUGAAGGAUCCAUAGACGGGUAGAAACAUCAGGAGGAGGGGUAGCGAGAGUGGCUCCAAGGAUGAGAAAUGUAGAACCUGACCUCUGAUUUGGAAGAAGAUGACUUCCCUUCUGCUGACCAUGCAGAUGCAGUUCCAGAUGGUUUCAGCAAUCGCUGCCAAGGUGGAGAGGCCCACUGACAACCCUAUUGAGUCUUCCUAAAGGGAUCUCCAACUCAACACCCACCACUCAUCACCAACACAGCAGGGAUUGAACCAAGAACCUCCAGAAUUUACAGCAUGAGCUGGUACAGUUUAAUCUGAAAAGGCAACUAAUAUAGCUGGGGUUAUAGCACCUCACAGACAGGGACUAUAGUAACUCAUAACCUCUGUGGAUUGGCACAGCAAAUGACCUGUAAUACAUAUUCACCAGUAGGUUACAUGUGAAGCUACAAUACCCAGCUACACUGCCUCAUCUUGUCACAUCAAUCUCAAGAAAACAACAAGUACUAGUAGGGCUGGUUGAAAAAUGGAAAUAACUUUUGCAAAAUCUUUGUCCUUUGUUUUGUUAAAACACAUUCCAUUGUACAUUUUUGGCCAGCUCUAUAGCUGGUUGAAAAACAGUAUGAAUGUUUUGGUGA